CCUACGGGGGGCAGCAGUGAGGAAUAUUGGUCAAUGGACGAGAGUCUGAACCAGCCAAGUAGCGUGAAGGAUGACUGCCCUAUGGGUUGUAAACUUCUUUUAUAUGGGAAUAAAAUGUUCCACGUGUGGGAUUUUGUAUGUACCAUAUGAAUAAGGAUCGGCUAACUCCGUGCCAGCAGCCGCGGUAAUACGGCGGAUCCGAGCGUUAUCCGGAUUUAUUGGGUUUAAAGGGAGCGUAGGUGGAUUGUUAAGUCAGUUGUGAAAGUUUGCGGCUCAACCGUAAAAUUGCAGUUGAAACUGGCAGUCUUGAGUACAGUAGAGGUGGGCGGAAUUCGUGGUGUAGCGGUGAAAUGCUUAGAUAUCACGAAGAACUCCGAUUGCGAAGGCAGUUCACUGGACUGCAACUGACACUGAGGCUCGAAAGUGUGGGUAUCAAACAGGAUUAGAUACCCGUGUAGUC
rnacentral:rRNA from 1 species